AAUAUUGGACAAUGGGGGCAACCCCGAUCCAGCCAUGCCGCGUGUGUGAUGAAGGUCAUCGGAUUGUACAGCACCUUAAGUUGGGAGGAAGAGCUUUAGGCUAAUACCCUGAAGUUUAGACGAUACCACCAGAAUAAUCACCUGCUAACUCUGUGCCAGCAGCCGCGGUAAGACAGAGGGUGCAAGCGUUAAUCGGAAUUACUGGGCGUAAAGCGCGCGUAGGUGGAUCAGUAAGAUGGGUGUGAAAUCCCCGGGCUUAACCUGGGAACUACUUUCAUAACUGCUGAGCUAGAGUACGGUAGAGGGUAGUGGAAUUUCCUGUGUAGCGGUGAAAUGCGUAGAUAUAGGAAGGAACACCAGUGGCGAAGGCGACUACCUGGACUGAUACUGACACUGAGGUGCGAAAGCGUGGGGAGCAAACAGG
rnacentral:rRNA from 1 species